UACGUAGGGGGCAAGCGUUGUCCGGAUUUAUUGGGCGUAAAGAGCGUGUAGGCGGCCUGAAAGGUCAGCUGUGAAAACUCGAGGCUCAACCUCGAGACGUCGGUUGAAACCAUCUGGCUAGAGUCCGGAAGAGGAGAGUGGAAUUCCCGGUGUAGCGGUGAAAUGCGCAGAUAUCGGGAAGAACACCAGUGGCGAAGGCGGCUCACUGGCUCGUAACUGACGCUCAUGCACGACAGCGUGGGGAUCAAACAGG
rnacentral:rRNA from 1 species